GAAAAGAAACGCUAAUACCGCAUAACAUCAAUUUUAUUCGCAUGAUAGGUUGAUCAAAGGAAGCAANCCGCUGGAAGAUGGACUCGCGUCCGAUUAGCCAGUUGGCGGGGUAACGGCCCACCAAAGCGACGAUCGGUAGCCGGACUGAGAGGUUGAACGGCCACAUUGGGACUGAGACACGGCCCAGACUCCUACGGGAGGCAGCAUG
rnacentral:rRNA from 1 species